rnacentral:lncRNA from 1 species
ACAUAUUGCUCCACAUAAUUAAUACUCCUAUCAAUUGUGUGGUUUGCCUUCAGUCACUUUGUCCAUUGCCUCACCUUUGUAGGAGCAACACCUAUAACAACCAUAGUAAUCACGGCGGCAGCAACCGUACCGGCAAUAUCCUCCACGUCGUCCACCACCACGUCCACCACCAGGGUAUCCACCGCGUCCACCACCAGGGUAUCCACCACGUCCACCACCAGGGUAUCCUCCACCGGGGUAUCCACCACCGGGGUAUCCACCCCCAGGGUAUCCACCACCAUAUUGGUCUUCAUGUACUUCAUUCUUGUUUUCAGAUCUUUUUGC